UAACUCACCCUGGCUGAGGACACAUACCCUGGUCAUGAAGGUGGUUUUCCCAGGCCCAGACUUAUCCAUUGCACUCCAGAUGUGCCAACCCCUGCGAUAUCCCCGAAUGUGGGAAGCCCGGCUGCACAAUUUGUGGCAGUGGGAGAAUGGGUUUGUGCUCUCCCC